rnacentral:rRNA from 1 species
UGAGUACAAGAUGCUACGGCAUUGAAGCAGUCUAUGUCAUAUUUCCAAGAAAAGCUUGCAAUGUCAUAAACAAAUAAUGCCUGUACCAUAACCGACACAGGUGGGUAGGUAGAGUAUACUAAGGGGCGCGAGAUAACUCUCUCUAAGGAACUCGGCAAAAUGACUCCGUAACUUCGGGAGAAGGAGUACCUUAUUUUAUAAGGUUGCAAUAACAAGGUCCAAGCAACUGUUUACCAAAAACACAGGUCUCCGCUAAGUCGUAAGACGAUGUAUGGGGGCUGACGCCUGCCCAGUGCCAGAAGGUUAAAGAAGUUGGUUAGCAUUAGCGAAGCUGAUAACUGAAGCCCUGGUGAACGGCGGCCGUAACAAUAACGGUCCUAAGGUAGCGAAAUUCCUUGUCGGGUAAGUUCCGACCCGCACGAAAGGCGUAAUGAUUUGGAUACUGUCUCGGAGAGGGGCUCGGUGAAAUAGACUUGUCUGUGAAGAUGCGGACUACCUGCACCUGGACAGAAAGACCCUAUGAAGCUUUACUGUAACUUGAGAUUGAAAUUGGACUUUAUUUGCGCAGUAUAGGUGGGAGACCUCGAAAGUAUUCUUGCGGGAAUAUUGGAGUCAUCAGUGAGAUACCACUCUUAUAAUGUUAGAUUUCUAACUUUGUAUCAUUAUCUGGUCAAAGAACAGUUUCAGGCGGGCAGUUUGACUGGGGCGGUCGCCUCCCAAAUGGUAACGGAGGCGCACAAAGGUUUCCUCUGAACGUGUAGAAAUCGUAUCUAGAGUGUAAAGGCAUAAGGAAGCUUGACUGUGAGACCUACAAGUCGAGCAGGGACGAAAGUCGGUCUUAGUGAUCUGACGGUGCUGAGUGGAAAGGCCGUCACUCAACGGAUAAAAGUUACUCUAGGAUAACUGGCUGAUCUCCCCCAAGAGUUCACAUCGACGGGGAGGUUUGGCACCUCGAUGUCGGCUCAUCGCAUCCUGGGGCGGUAGUACGUCCCAAGGGUUGGGCUGUUCGCCCAUGAAAGCGGUACGCGAGCUGGGUUCAGAACGUCGUGAGACAGUUCGGUCCAUAUCCGGUGUAGGCGUUAGAAUAUUGAGAGGAGCCUUCUUUAGUACGAGAGGACCGAGAAGGACAUACCUCUGGUGUACCAGUUAUCGUGCCAACGGUAAACGCUGGGUAGCUAUGUAUGGAGAGGAUAACCGCUGAAAGCAUCUAAGUGGGAAGCCCACCUCAAGAUAAG